rnacentral:lncRNA from 1 species
GGAAUAUUCAUGAAGCUGCGGAUACGGACAACGUGCGCCCGUUAACGUUGACAGCCACACUCGGGGAAACGAAGGUGUCGCUUGGUCUGGCGCCUCACCGCUCGUGAUGGGGAAGUCAACAGCGGUGUUCGCCCUGUCAACUGAACGAUGCAGUCGUUCCUGCAUUUCCUUUGGUUGGACAAGACGACGUAGGAAAAGAGAUACCGUUUUUAUAGUGCUUACGCUGAUCAGGAGCGACAGC